AGUGAACGCUGGCGGUAGGCCUAACACAUGCAAGUCGAACGGCAGCACAGUAAGAGCUUGCUCUUACGGGUGGCGAGUGGCGGACGGGUGAGGAAUACAUCGGAAUCUACUUUUUCGUGGGGGAUAACGCAGGGAAACUUACGCUAAUACCGCAUACGACCUACGGGUGAAAGCAGGGGAUCUUCGGACCUUGCGCGAUUGAAUGAGCCGAUGUCGGAUUAGCUAGUUGGCGGGGUAAAGGCCCACCAAGGCGACGAUCCGUAGCUGGUCUGAGAGGAUGAUCAGCCACACUGGAACUGAGACACGGUCCAGACUCCUACGGGAGGCAGCAGUGGGGAAUAUUGGACAAUGGGCGCAAGCCUGCUCCAGCCAUACCGCGUGGGUGAAGAAGGCCUUCGGGUUGUAAAGCCCUUUUGUUGGGAAAGAAAAGCAGCAGGUUAAUACCCCGCUGUUCUGACGGUACCCAAAGAAUAAGCACCGGCUAACUUCGUG
rnacentral:rRNA from 1 species